rnacentral:rRNA from 1 species
CCUACGGGAGGCAGCAGUAGGGAAUAUUGGACAAUGGGCGAGAGCCUGACCCAGCCAUGCCGCGUGCCGGAUGAAGGCCUUCUGGGUUGUAAACGGCUUUUCUCAGGGAAGAAAAAGGUGAUGCGUCACAAACUGACGGUACCUGAGGAAUAAGCACCGGCUAACUCCGUGCCAGCAGCCGCGGUAAU